GGUCAAGAUGCUAAGGGCCCACGGUGGAUGCCUUGGCACCCGAGCCGAUGAAGGACGUGGCUACCUGCGAUAAGCCAGGGGGAGCCGGUAGC
rnacentral:rRNA from 1 species